CCAGACUCCUACGGGAGGCAGCAGUGGGGAAUAUUGCACAAUGGGGGAAACCCUGAUGCAGCGACGCCGCGUGGAGGAAGAAGGUCUUCGGAUUGUAAACUCCUGUUGUUGAGAAAGAUAAUGACGGUACUCAACAAGGAAGUGACGGCUAACUACGUGC
rnacentral:rRNA from 1 species